UACAGAGGUCUCGAGCGUUAGGCGGAAUCACUGGGCUUAAAGCGUGUGUAGGCGGAUCGUUAAGUACCUUGUGAAAUCCCACGGCUUAACCGUGGAACUGCUUGGUAUACUGGCGGUCUUGAGCCAGCUAGGGGCUACCGGAACAAAUGGUGGAGCGGUGAAAUGCGUAGAUAUCAUUUGGGACGCCAAUGGUGAAAACAGGUAGCUGGGGCUGUGCUGACGCUGAGACACGAAAGCCAGGGGAGCAAACGGG
rnacentral:rRNA from 1 species